AUUGGCAUAAUGAUGAUUUAAAAAAAAAAAUGCCGUUUACCCAACUGAGUGCUUCCUUGAAGUAACUUGAAAUCUGAUGUGCCAUA